rnacentral:lncRNA from 1 species
GCUGCACAGAUGUGGGAGAAGAGGGAGGAGAGAGAGGAAUGGGAGAAUCAGAGGCAUCAUCAUCUUCUCCAGAUGGAAUGAAGGGAAAGAAGAAGCAGGAGGAUGAGCAGAAGAAGACACAAAUUUAAAAGGAAAAACUGAUUCAUGAAGAGAACAUCCCUGGUGACCAAAUACUUCUUAGAUGCAAGAUCAUAUAAUCUAUAACCCUUUUUGCCAAAAUGAUAUCCCAGGAAAACACAAGGAAUGACUCUGGGCUUUAACUUGUCCCUUUGAGGGAUAGGGACAGUGGCAUAGGCAAGGCAACCAAAGGUUCUCAAGUGAGCAUAGGAUGGGACUGCCCCAUACAAAAUUUCAUGAGGGGACUUAUUAUGAAGCAAUCUGGUGGGUAUUCUGUUAAGGAGAUAUGUAGCAGUCAACAAACAAUCCCCCUAGAAAGAUACUGGCAAGCCAGAUUGAAAGAGCAAAGCCCUACAAGAUUUUACAACAAACAAUCCCCCCAGAAAAAUACUGGCAAGCCAGAUUGAAAGAGCAAAGCCCUACAGGUUUCAAGGAGAGUCCUGUGUUUUCUCUCAACAACUCCAUUUUGUUGGAGAGUGUGAGGACAGGAGGUUUGGUGUAUGAUCCCCUGGCUACUAAAGAAGGAAAUACCCUAAUUGCUGGAGCCCAAUUCUAAGGCAUUGUCACUUCUAACUGUCUGAACCACAGCAUCAAAUUGGGUUCUGACCUGAGAAAGAAAUGACUUAAGCAUAGAAAAGGCAUUUCUUUUGGAUCCCAACAUGUGUGUCCAAGUUGCCCUUGAAAAGUCAUCAACAAGUGUAAGAAAAUAUUUGCAACCAGAAGAGGUUGGAGUAUGAUAAGGACCCCAGGUGUCCACAUGAAUCAGUUGGAAAGGCCUAGAAGUUCUAAUGGAGCUAUCAGGGAAAGGAAGCCUGGUCUGUUUGGCCAUGGGACAGACUGUACAGGGAAAAGGUUGUUUGGAAGCAAAAGGAAAAGACAGACCAGAAAUGCAUUUCAUAUUUGCAAAAGGAGUAUGUGCAAGUCUCAGGGGAAGGUUUGUUUGGAAGCAAAUGGAAAAGACAGACCAGAAAUGCAUUUCAUAUUUGCAAAGGGAGUAUGUGCAAGUCUUAAGUGCCAAAUGUAAUUCAUAUCAGAUGCAAAAUCAUUAUUACAAAUGGAACUAUUUACAUGUGAAGGCACAUGAACAACCUUGUUAUCAGACAAGAUGUCAUCAUUACAAGAAACAAACACAGAAGGCAAUGCAACAACUUUGUUAUCAUUACAAGAAGCAUAUUCAGGAGAAACAGAAGUAGAAGAACAAUUAACAGAGGGAGAAGGGGAAGAGGGAACCCAAGCUAGUUUAUACAGGCCAGCAGCUUCUCUACCAAGAUCCAGUGGCCUCCUCAGAGAAGGGUCCUGUAUCAUGUGUAGUAAGCAGGAAUGUNN